rnacentral:rRNA from 1 species
CCAACAGGGAUUGCCUCAGUAACGGCGAGUGAAGCGGCAACAGCUCAAAUUUGAAAUCUGAUCCCUUCGGGGUCCGAGUUGUAAUUUGUAGAGGGUGCUUCGGGCUUGGCCUAGGUCUAAGUUCCUUGGAACAGGGCGUCAUAGAGGGUGAGAAUCCCGUAUGAGACCGGCGAUCCAGCCCAUGUGAAGCCCCUUCGACGAGUCGAGUUGUUUGGGAAUGCAGCUCAAAAUGGGUGGUAAAUUUCAUCUAAAGCUAAAUACGGGCCAGAGACCGAUAGCGAACAAGUAGAGUGAUCGAAAGAUGAAAAGCACUUUGGAAAGAGAGUUAAACAGUACGUGAAAUUGUUGAAAGGGAAGCGCUUGCAAUCAGACCUGCCCGUGGGUGAUCUGUCGGGGCUCGUUCCCGGCAACCUUCACCCAUGAUCAGGCCAGCAUCGGUUUGGGCGGUGAGAUAAAAGCCCCUGGAAUGUAGCUUCUCUCGGGGAGUCUUAUAGCCUGAGGUGUCAUGUUGCCAGCCUGGACCGAGGACCGCGCUUCGGCUAGGAUGCUGGCGUAAUGAUUCUAAGCGACCCGUCUUGAAACACGGACCAAGGAGUCUAACAUCUAUGCGAGUGUUUGGGUGUUAAACCCGGGCGCGGAAUGAAAGUGAACGGAGGUGGGAGCCCGUCAAACGGCGCACCAUCGACCGAUCCAGAUGUUUUCGGAUGGAUUUGAGUACGAGCAUAGCUGUUGGGACCCGAAAGAUGGUGAACUUUGCUUGUAUAGGGUGAAGCCAGAGGAAACUCUGGUGGAGGCUCGCAGCGGUUCUGACGUGCAAAUCGAUCGUCGAAUAUGAGCAAAGGUCAGUUGGAAAAGGACCUACGUUUAGGGGCUACGUUAACUAAAUUUUUAACAGGGGCGAAAGACCAAUCGAACUAUCUAGUAGCUGGUUCCUGUCGAAGUUUCCCUCAGGAUAGCAGUAACGUUUUCAGUUUUAUGAGGUAAAGCGAAUGAUUAGAGGCCUUGGGGUUGAAACAACCUUAACCUAUUCUCAAACUUUAAAUAUGUAAGAAGUCCUUGUUACUUAGUUGAACGUGGACAUUUGAAUGCACCGUUACUAGUGGGCCAUUUUUGGUAAGCAGAACUGGCGAUGCGGGAUGAACCGAACGCGAGGUUAAGGUGCCGGAAUGCACGCUCAUCAGACACCA